UGUCUUGACGCCACCGCCUACACGGAGAGAGCAUUUAAUCAUGUGCUCCUCAACACCUAAAUCCACCGCAUAUCACCGGUGAAUUCACGGUUCUUGACCACUGAUUCAACCUGACAUCUGAAUCCACCACCUUGUCCGUACCGACUGAAACCCUAAUUUUGCUUUAACUCUAACAUCCGACGCGGUCAACAACGGCAUCCGAUCUCCACGACUACGGAAACGCAUCUCCUGCGUACCUCCAUUGAUAGAUUAGUUUAUUUAGCAGUUCGUUUGCAUUGUUUUUCGAACGUCUGCAGGUAUACGUGAUCUUCCUCGUCUCUUUAGACUGUUAAUUUCUAUAUGUAGUUGUUUAGUUUAAUUGUUAAUCAGGUGAUGGUUAAUGAAACUGUUGGAUUUAUGGAUUGGAUAUGUUGGUUUGAUUGGUCUGUGUUUUAGGGUGUGUGUGUGUGAAGGGAUGCUCAAUGCUAACUCAGAAUGUCAUGAGAAAUGAGGGUUAGGGUUCUUAAAGUUUGGGAUUUAUGGAUUGGAUAUGUUAAUUUGAUUGGUUUGUGUUUCAACGGUGGUCAGAAUGGGGUGGUUCAGAAAAGGGAAAAAUGGGAAUGUGUUUGCAUAUGUCCAACUUCCGAUCGACAAUCUGCUACCCGAUUGCAGUUGUCGAAGAUGAAAAGUUGAGGUUGAUAGUUGUAAAGUUUACUAGCGAUUCUGUGAGUUUUAUGGUGUGCGGUUUCAGGUGUUCUACUUGAUUUUAAGGAAGCACAUUGUUAAGAUUUAGCUAUUAUAUAGAUUAAUGAGUAUGGUUUUUUUGAAGAAAUUCAGCUGUAAUGUUCGACCAAACUGUACAGUUAAACUGUUGUCCAUUAGGAUCUUUAACUAGCUAAACUGGCUACACUCCAUGGUUGAGACACAGACUCUUUUGUCCUAGCCCAAUUAGGGUGGCCCGACACGAUUUUGCCAAUUAUUUACACAUUAUUGUGGCUUAUUAGAGUACCUUAUCUGAACUUACAUGGCCUUUCCCUAAUCUUUGGCGAGCUGGUGGCAUGAUGACCAGAGUUCUUAGCGCCACUAAUGCGAAAGCGGUUGAGAUGUUCAUCGAUGAAAAGGAACUAUAAUAAUGGAGAAAAUGAAUACAACAAAGAUGGUGGUUGGGACGGAGGAAGAGGAAGAAGUCGUGGUGGAUAUCGUGGAGGUGGUGGUGGUUAUGGCAAAUUCAUUGGGUAUUAUGAUUAUGGAGGAUGAAGCUGAUGGUUAUGAUGAUUGAUGAUGACCUACUAAGUGUUGCUGACCGCCUCGAUGAAGAUUUACUUUCUUGCAAACUUUGUACCAUGGUUGGGUUUCAAUGCCGCAUCGGUUAGGUGCUAUAACAAGGGCUUGCUAAAUGGAUUUAUUAGGCUCUAUUUGUAUCGUUUUGAUAUGUGAAUGUGAACCCAGCCGCAACGCGGCGGGUACUAACUUCUAGUUAUUGAUUAAAAUUUAAAAGAAAUCAUUCCGUUUAUGGUAUU
rnacentral:lncRNA from 1 species